GUCUUACUCAAAAUAAAUAUAGUCUAAAAAUUGAAUCGUUCUCACAAAACAGUUUGGAAAAAUCAUCUUCUCCGGUCUCUCUGUCAAAACUCCAAAUUCGCUCUCCUCUCUCAUCUUCCUUCCAUUUCCUUUCAUCAAGUUUUCAACAUCAAUCAAUCCACCACAACAGUAACAAUCAGUUUUUUUUAUUAUGGAUGGAGAGGGGACCCACGACACCAUCUCCAGGGGGCCUGAUCCGUUCCACUCUAUCAAUUCGGACGGUGGUGACGCCUCUCCGUCACAGUAUUCCUCAUGCGGAGAAUCGGAGUUCGAGCGAUACUGCAGCGCCAAUUCAGUUAUGGGCACACCUAGCUGUAGUAGCUCAUUUGGAGCCUCUUUUAAUGAUUGUAUAGAGUCUGAUCUUGGGUCUUUGAAAAGUUUAGAUGAUUUUGGGUUUGAUGGUAAUAGGAACUUGGAGGAUAGAAAGCUUUUGAAUUCGGUUAUUGAUCGUUUAGAUGGCAGUUUUGAAGAGAAUGAGACUGGUAGGUUGGGAAUUUGUGGAGCAAGUAGUAAUGAAUUGAACAGUAGGAUUUGGGAGAUUGGGAAAGGGGAUUUGGGUCGAGUUGGUUGUGGAGAGAAUGAAGAUUGUCAAAGUGGGUUGGAUGUAGAGGUAGAUUUGGGAUUUGAUGGAGGUAAAGAUGGGGGUUCGUCUAGAUAUGGAUAUUCGGAAGAUGAUGAUUCCAUUUGUGGGUGUGGUUCGGAUGAUGAGAAAAGGAAGAAUUUGUAUUUUAGGAGGAAUGUGUUGCUUGGUGAGGAAGGGAAAGUAGGUGGUGAGAAUCCGUUGCUUAUGGGUUCGUCUGUGGCUUUUGGGUCGGAAGAUUGGGAUGAUUUUGAGCUAGAAACUGGGGGGGGCAUUGGAGCUUCUUUGACCUUGGAUAAAUUUCAGCAGCAGGAGCAUGGUCUGGCGACUGAUGGAAACUUUUUCAGUUCUAUUCCUGUGGUUUCAACUGUAGCACCUGUUAUUGGUGACGCAGAAAUAGGGGAAGAUGUGACUGAGGAACAUGCUGGCAUUGAAGACAGUGAAGGUGAUGAUUUGGGAGAGAAGCUCAAUUCCGGUACUGAGAUCCCUUAUGGUGUACGGAAUUCUAUUGGGGAUCUAGUGGAAGACAUGAGAGACAUUUCUGUACUCAGUUGUCAGGUACAAGGUGCUCGUGAAUUGGCCAAAGAUGAUAAAAGUUCUUCGAUCAUGCCAUUUGGUUUUCCAGGCUAUUGCGAACCACAGCAAGAAGAUGCUAGAGACAUUUCUCUUAACUGCAAUCAAGCCCAAGGUAGUAACGACACAACAGAGCUUUACAACAGUUGUCCUGUCAGCGACUUCUUUGAGGUGGAGCAGGAACCUCUCGUAGAAAUAACCCCCGUAAGGUUAGGAUUGAAUUUUACAGAUCCUUACAUGGAAGGUCUGAAUCCAUGUGUGAAAUCCGAGGAAAUUGUUUGUACCGAUGAUAAAAAAGCUUUGGAAAAUGAAGAGGCUGGGAAUUUUGAAGUAGAGGCAGAUCCCCUUUCUGAUACAACUAAUCAACUUCAUUUCUGCGCAGUUGAAUACUCAGAAAAUGCAAGUGCAGAAUCCCUUGUGACCCAAAAAUUAAAUUCAACUCUGCCAAUGCUUGAAAAUAACAUGAAAAAAGCAUCAGAGAAUGCUCCUGGUUCUGUGAUUCUUUAUGAAGACCAUUCUGCAGUGGUUAAGGCAGAGAAUUUUGAGCUUAUUGAAUUUUACGAUGAGAUUGUCAAUGAAAUGGAAGAAAUUUUACUUGACUCCGGUGAGUCUCCAGGGGCUAGAUUUCCUCAGGGUAAUCAUUUGUUUCAGCCACAGCUAUUACUGCCGCUAAGAGAUGGUGGGCCAACUGCUUCUACUUCUGGUACCAACGAGGCUUACCCGCUAAUUACACAUCCAAAGAGAAUUGAUAGGGUUGAAGUGGUAGGAGCAAAGCAGAAGAAAGGAGAUGUCUCCCUUAGUGAAAGAUUGGUUGGAGUGAAGGAAUACACCAUGUAUAUAAUAAGGGUAUGGAGUGGCAAAGACCAGUGGGAGGUUGAACGCAGGUAUCGUGAUUUCCAUACGCUCUAUCGCAGGCUGAAAUCAUUAUUUGCUGACCAGGGCUGGACUCUUCCUUCUCCUUGGUCCUCUGUGGAAAAGGAAUCUAGAAAAAUAUUCGGGAAUGCAUCUCCAGAUGUUGUUUCUGAGAGAAGUGUUCUUAUUAAGGAGUGUUUACAUUCAACUAUCCAUUCUGGGUUCUUUUCCAGUCCCCCAAGUGCACUGGUUUGGUUCUUGUGUCCUCAAGGUUCAUUUCCUAGUUCCCCUGCAGCAAGAAUGCCAGUUGCUCGGUCUAUAUUUUCUAACAAAGGGGCAGAUGCAGGAAAUAUUUCCACUUUAGGGAAGACAAUAUCACUUAUUGUUGAAAUCCAGCCACACAAAUCUACUAAACAGAUGCUAGAAGUGCAACAUUAUACUUGUGCUGGAUGCCACAAGCAUUUUGAUGAUGGUAUGACAUUAAUGCAGGACUUUGUACAGACACUUGGGUGGGGAAAGCCUCGGCUUUGCGAGUAUACUGGUCAGUUAUUUUGUUCUUCAUGCCACACAAACGAGACUGCAGUUUUGCCAGCAAGAGUUCUACAUUAUUGGGAUUUUAAUCAAUACCCAGUUUCUCAUCUGGCCAAGUCAUACUUGGAUUCCAUCCAUGAGCAGCCCAUGCUUUGUGUAAGCGCAGUCAAUCCUCUCUUAUUCUCCAAGGUCCCAGCCUUGCACCAUAUUAUGGGUGUCAGGAAAAAAAUUGGAACUAUGCUUCAAUAUGUUCGAUGUCCAUUCCGCAGGACCAUCAACAAAGUACUCGGUUCUCGAAGAUAUCUUCUUGAAAGCAAUGAUUUUUUUCCCCUUAGAGACCUCAUAGAUCUCUCAAAAGGGGCAUUUGCAGCACUACCGGUGAUGGUGGAAACUGUUUCAAGGAAAAUUCUGGAGCAUAUAACAGAGCAAUGUCUCAUAUGCUGCGAUGUGGGAGUCCCCUGCAGUGCCCGACAAGCUUGUAAUGAUCCAUCUUCCCUCAUAUUCCCUUUUCAGGAAGGUGAAAUUGAAAGGUGUGCUUCUUGCGGAUCAGUAUUCCACAAGCCCUGCUUCAGAAAGCUUACAAAUUGCUCUUGUGGGACACGCCUUAGUGCAGAUCAGGUCAUGGAGUCUACCAAUAUGUUGAGCCGUAAGGCCAGUGGUUUCGUGCUGGGAAGGAGAUCGGGCUCUAGUUUGCAUCUGGGAUUGCUCUCUGGACUAUUUUCGAAGGCACAUCCAGAAAAAAUGAAGGACGAAGAUACUAUUAUCUUAAUGGGUUCUUUGCCAACCACUUCUCUUUAAUCACCUGUGAUUGUAAUUUGCCUUUUGUAUAUUGUCUUGAUUGUAAAGCGGGAGUUCAUUGUACCACUUGGCACCUUGAGUUUUUGGCUGAACAAGCGGACGUAGCCUAUAUCAUUGCAUUGUAUGAAGAGUUUCGACGUUGGUUUGACCAAAUCACCAGAGGGGCUCAGGAGUUUAGAUAGUAGUAGAGGGAGAUGAAGCUUGUUGGGGUUUAUCAUUGGUGCUAUUUUUCUGUUGAGCCUGGAGGUUCUGAUGCUUGAUGUUAGCUAUCAUCUGAGUCAGAACUCAGAAGGUGGCGAUGGCAUUCAUAGUUGCUUGGGACCAAAAGGAGGAGAAAACUGUAUAUUAGGUGCCCAAUCUUUGAUUUUAUUUACGUUUGAGUGCUUCACCUUUAACUUUAUCUAUUUGAAAUACGAAAAUUUACGUGUAUUUUAUGUUAAUCAGUUUUUUUUCA